rnacentral:rRNA from 1 species
GACGAACGCUGGCGGCGUGCUUAGCACAUGCAAGUCGAACGGAAAGGCCCUGCUUUUGUGGGGUGCUCGAGUGGCGAACGGGUGAGUAACACGUGAGUAACCUGCCCUUGACUUUGGGAUAACUUCAGGAAACUGGGGCUAAUACCGGAUAGGAGCUCCUGCUGCAUGGUGGGGGUUGGAAAGUUUCGGCGGUUGGGGAUGGACUCGCGGCUUAUCAGCUUGUUGGUGGGGUAGUGGCUUACCAAGGCUUUGACGGGUAGCCGGCCUGAGAGGGUGACCGGCCACAUUGGGACUGAGAUACGGCCCAGACGCCUACGGGAGGCAGCAGUGGGGAAUAUUGCGCAAUGGGCGGAAGCCUGAUGCAGCAACGCCGCGUGCGGGAUGACGGCCUUCGGGUUGUAAACCGCUUUCGCCUGUGACGAAGCGUGAGUGACGGUAAUGGGUAAAGAAGCACCGGCUAACUACGUG